GCGAACGGCGUGCUGGGAGCCGCGGGAAUACGAAGGAGCCGAGCGGUAUUCUGAGUUAUUGGGUUUAAAGGGGGCGUAGGCGGAUGAGUAAGUCAGUGGGGAAAGCCCGUCGCUUAACGGCGGAAUUGCCAUUGAUACUGCUAGGCUGGAGUAUGGUUGAGGUGGGCGGAAUGUGUCAUGUAGCGGUGAAAUGCUUAGAUAUGACCCAGAACACCAAUUGCGAAGGCAGCUCGCUAAGCCAUAACUGACGCUGAGGCACGAAAGCGUGGGGAGCAAACAGGAUUAGAUACCCUGGUAGUC
rnacentral:rRNA from 1 species